rnacentral:rRNA from 1 species
CUACGGGUGGCUCCAGUGAGGAAUAUUGCACAAUGGGGGGAACCCUGAUGCAGCAACGCCGCGUGGAGGAUGACGCAUUUCGGUGUGUAAACUCCUUUUAUAUGUCAAGAAAAUGACGGUAGCAUAUGAAUAAGCACCGGCUAACUCCGUGCCAGCAGCCGCGGUAAUACGGAGGGUGCAAGCGUUACUCGGAAUCACUGGGCGUAAAGGACGCGUAGGCGGGUUGGAAAGUCAGGUGUGAAAUCCUACAGCUUAACUGUAGAACUGCACUUGAAACUUCUAAUCUAGAGUAUGGGAGGGGGAGAUGGAAUUAGUGGUGUAGGGGUAAGAUCCGUAGAUAUCACUAGGAAUACCUAAAGCGAAGGCGAUCUCCUGGAACAUUACUGACGCUAAGGCGUGAAAGCGUGGGGAGCAUACAGGAUUAGAUACCCCCGUAGUC